rnacentral:rRNA from 1 species
AUAUCAAUAAGCGGAGGAAAAGAAACUAACAAGGAUUCCCCUAGUAGCGGCGAGCGAAGCGGGAAGAGCUCAAAUUUAUAAUCUGGCACCUUCGGUGUCCGAGUUGUAAUCUCUAGAAGUGUUUUCCGCGUUGGACCGCACACAAGUCUGUUGGAAUACAGCGGCACAGUGGUGAUACCCCCGUAUACGGUGCGGACGCCCAGCGCUUUGUGAUACACUUUCAAAGAGUCGAGUUGUUUGGGAAUGCAGCUCAAAUUGGGUGGUAAAUUCCAUCUAAAGCUAAAUAUUGGCGAGAGACCGAUAGCGAACAAGUACCGUGAGGGAAAGAUGAAAAGCACUUUGGAAAGAGAGUUAACAGUACGUGAAAUUGUUGGAAGGGAAACGCUUGAAGUCAGACUUGCUUGCCGGAGCUUGCUUCGGUUUGCAGGCCAGCAUCAGUUUUCUGGGGUGGAUAAUGGCGGUUUGAAGGUAGCAGCCUCGUGCUGUGUUAUAGCUUUCCGCUGGAUACAUCCUGGGGGACUGAGGAACGCAGCGUGCUUUUUGCGAAGGUUUCGACCUUUUCACGCUUAGGAUGCUGGUGUAAUGGCUUUAAACGACCC